rnacentral:rRNA from 1 species
GACGAACGCUGGCGGCGCGCCUAACACAUGCAAGUCGAACGAGCGAGAGAGAGCUUGCUUUCUCGAGCGAGUGGCGAACGGGUGAGUAACGCGUGAGGAACCUGCCUCAAAGAGGGGGACAACAGUUGGAAACGACUGCUAAUACCGCAUAAGCCCACAGGUCGGCAUCGACCAGAGGGAAAAGGAGCAAUCCGCUUUGAGAUGGCCUCGCGUCCGAUUAGCUGGUUGGUGAGGUAACGGCCCACCAAGGCGACGAUCGGUAGCCGGACUGAGAGGUUGAACGGCCACAUUGGGACUGAGACACGGCCCAGACUCCUACGGGAGGCAGCAGUGGGGAAUAUUGCACAAUGGGGGAAACCCUGAUGCAGCGACGCCGCGUGGAGGAAGAAGGUCUUCGGAUUGUAAACUCCUGUUGUUGAGGAAGAUAAUGACGGUACUCAACAAGGAAGUGACGGCUAACUACGUGCCAGCAGCCGCGGUAAAACGUAGGUCACAAGCGUUGUCCGGAAUUACUGGGUGUAAAGGGAGCGCAGGCGGGAAGACAAGUUGGAAGUGAAAUCUAUGGGCUCAACCCAUAAACUGCUUUCAAAACUGUUUUUCUUGAGUAGUGCAGAGGUAGGCGGAAUUCCCGGUGUAGCGGUGGAAUGCGUAGAUAUCGGGAGGAACACCAGUGGCGAAGGCGGCCUACUGGGCACCAACUGACGCUGAGGCUCGAAAGUGUGGGUAGCAAACAGG